rnacentral:rRNA from 1 species
AUUGCACAAUGGGCGCAAGCCUGAUGCAGCGACGCCGCGUGGGGGAUGACGGCCUUCGGGUUGUAAACCCCUUUCAGCCUCGACGAAGCUGCGGGUUUUCUCGUGGUGACGGUAGGGGCAGAAGAAGCACCGGCCAACUACGUGCCAGCAGCCGCGGUAAUACGUAGGGUGCAAGCGUUGUCCGGAAUUACUGGGCGUAAAGAGCUCGUAGGCGGCUUGUCGCGUUGUUCGUGGAAUGCCACAGCUUAACUGUGGGCGUGCGGGCGAUACGGGCAGGCUGGAGUGCUGCAGGGGAGACUGGAAUUCCUGGUGUAGCGGUGGAAUGCGCAGAUAUCAGGAGGAACACCGGUGGCGAAGGCGGGUCUCUGGGCAGUAACUGACGCUGAGGAGCGAAAGCGUGGGGAGCGAACAGGAUUAGAUACCCUGGUAGUCCACGCCGUAAACGGUGGGUACUAGGUGUGGGUUCUUUCCUGAAGGAUCCGUGCCGUAGCUAACGCAUUAAGUACCCCGCCUGGGGAGUACGGCCGCAAGGCUAAAACUCAAAGGAAUUGACGGGGGCCCGCACAAGCGGCGGAGCAUGUGGAUUAAUUCGAUGCAACGCGAAGAACCUUACCUGGGUUUGACAUGCACAGGACGGUCGUAGAGAUACGGCUUCCCUUGUGGCCUGUGUGCAGGUGGUGCAUGGCUGUCGUCAGCUCGUGUCGUGAGAUGUUGGGUUAAGUCCCGCAACGAGCGCAACCCUUGUCCCAUGUUGCCAGCACGUGAUGGUGGGGACUCAUGGGAGACUGCCGGGGUCAACUCGGAGGAAGGUGGGGAUGACGUCAAGUCAUCAUGCCCCUUAUGUCCAGGGCUUCACACAUGCUACAAUGGCCGGUACAAAGGGCUGCGAUGCCGUGAGGUUAAGCGAAUCCUUGGAAAGCCGGUCUCAGUUCGGAUCGGGGUCUGCAACUCGACCCCGUGAAGUCGGAGUCGCUAGUAAUCGCAGAUCAGCAAUGCUGCGGUGAAUACGUUCCCA